UGGCAGAGCGCCAACCGGCAAGGGUAGAGCAUACGCCGCGGAAAAGCUGCGGGGCGCGAAUGGCGCGGGACGCAAGGCGGCUGUUCGUGGAUGGCCACGGGACAGCACGCUCAUUGGAAACUGGUAAUCAGCCUAGGUGACGGAGACUCCAGGCCACAAUGGAGAAUGGCAGUUGUAUACCGAGGUGACCAGAUUCUGAGACUUCCCUGAUUGCCUUGAUUUACACUUGGACACCCAGGUCCUUCCCCACCCCCUAUUCCCAGUUGCUUCUUUUGUGAGAUUGGGGCUUCUUAUGUAACCCAGCCUGGUAAACUCACUAUUUUGUAGCUUCAAAUUCAUGGUGAUCCUUUGGCCUCAGCCUCCCCAAUGCUAGAAUUCUAGGUGGGCCCCUCAUGCCCAACUCAUCCUCUCUCUUGACAUUUCGUCACUCCUGCAUUCUCUGGAUGCUGGCUUUUCAACUCCUCCUCAGUAUAUCUUUUGAGAGAAGUAGUCCAGGAUUCUUGGCUUAUCUCUUCCCUGAAAGCUCUCAAGUUCAAGCCUUGGGCUAAACACACACACACACACACACACACCACACAAACCUUUAAUCCUAGCAUUUGGGAGGGAGAGGCA